rnacentral:rRNA from 1 species
GCGCCUUUUGAGAUUCUUCGGAUGAUCGAUCGGUGACUGAGUGGCGGACGGGUGAGUAACGCGUGGGUAACCUGCCCUGUACAGGGGGGAUAACAGCUGGAAACGGCUGCUAAUACCGCAUAAGCGCACGAGGAGACAUCUCCUUGUGUGAAAAACUCCGGUGGUACAGGAUGGGCCCGCGUCUGAUUAGCUGGUUGGCAGGGUAACGGCCUACCAAGGCAACGAUCAGUAGCCGGUCUGAGAGGAUGAACGGCCACAUUGGAACUGAGACACGGUCCAAACUCCUACGGGAGGCAGCAGUGGGGAAUAUUGCACAAUGGGGGAAACCCUGAUGCAGCAACGCCGCGUGAGUGAAGAAGUAUUUCGGUAUGUAAAGCUCUAUCAGCAGGGAAGAUAAUGACGGUACCUGACUAAGAAGCUCCGGCUAAAUACGUGCCAGCAGCCGCGGUAAUACGUAUGGAGCAAGCGUUAUCCGGAUUUACUGGGUGUAAAGGGUGCGUAGGUGGCAGUGCAAGUCAGAUGUGAAAGGCCGGGGCUCAACCCCGGAGCUGCAUUUGAAACUGCUCGGCUAGAGUACAGGAGAGGCAGGCGGAAUUCCUAGUGUAGCGGUGAAAUGCGUAGAUAUUAGGA